rnacentral:rRNA from 1 species
AUGCAAAGGGGAAGGGGCGGGAGAGGUGGUCUCUUUGGUUUUGGGGACCCUUUUCCUGCUUUUGGCGGCUUUGUACCACCUGGGAACCUUAUGUCCAGUUUCUUUCGUGGGUCAAGUCCCUUUGAUGAUCCCUUCUUCACCAAUCCUUCUGGUUCUUUGAUUGGACCUAGCCUAUUUGAGCAAAGCAUUUUUGGUUCAAGCAUGUUCGGGCCACACACAGCUCUAAAUGGAGGAGGCUUCCAGCAGCAAGGUCCUGAACCAAGCAGGCCAAAAGGGCCGGUUAUUGAGGAGUUGUCUUCAGACGACGAGGAUGGUGCGGAUGCGAAUGAACAUGAUGAGAAGAAGAAAACUAACUCUAUGAAACAUCCAAGGAUUUGCAAAGAGCCAUAUGUGGAGGACUCUGGUGAUGAAGUUCAAGAUAAUAAGAGAUCUAGGCAUGAGAAAUUUGGGAAAGAGUACGUCAGGGCUGGCACAUCAUAUCAACAGCCACAGACCUAUAUGUUUCAGAGCUCAACUGUUACAUAUGGUGGUCCAAAUGGGGCAUGUUAUAUGUCUUCAACGACUAGGAGGAGUGGUGGAGAUGGAGUUACAAUGGAAGAAAGUAAGGAAGCAGACACAACAAGUGGUAAAGCAACUCACAGGAUCGCACGUGGCAUUGGCAAUAAGGGUCAUGCACUGACUAGAAAACUGAACUGCGAUGGAAAAGUUAACACCAUGCAAACUUUGCAGAACUUGAGUGAAGAUGAGCUUGCUGGGUUUGAGGAAUCAUGGCAAAGGAAUGCAGGGCCUUGUCUGCCUGGUUGGGAUCCCAGAUUAAACACGCUUAACAGUGAUAAAGCAGGAACUCUUAGCACUGGCAUCCAAGAAGAUAAUGGAAUGUCUGUACUUCCAACACCCAAUGAUAUGUUUGCGCUUCCAGCACCCGAACAAUAUCGUGGCUUUAUUUCCUCUGAUAUGUUUGCGCUUCCAGCACCUGAACAAUAUCGUGGCUCUAUUUCCUCGAGGAUGAAGAGGCGCCCUUUGAAUGGUUCAUUCCAGGGCAGUCCCCAUACAUGA